CUUUUUGAUUCUCAAACUGAGUGAUGUUCCUUCUCCUUCCCCAUUCUUUCCUCAAAAAUGAGCAAUUUUUGUGAAAAAAAGAAUUGAGACGAAAAGCAGUAUUUAAAAAGAAGCAAAUAUAAAGGA
rnacentral:ribozyme from 1 species